GAUCGGUUGGCUCAGUUGGUUAGAGCGUCGUGCUAAUAACACGAAAGUCGUGGGUUCAAGUCCCACACUGAUCA